rnacentral:lncRNA from 10 species
UUGAAAUCUCCCAGAUGUUUGCUGUGUUUUCCACUAUCCCGAGAGAGGCUUUAGAUGCGUCUGCUUGUGGAAUUAACAUGCUACGUCUCAUUUUCCUUUCCUUGGAGGAUGUGUUCUUUUGAGAGACUUUACACCAGGAAGAGUUCCUUUUAAAAUUGGCCUGGGUGGCAGAGGUCAGAACAUACACAAUUCAACAACAACUUGCGCCACCCACCUCCAAUUCCCUGCUCUACAGGACCAUCCUGACUUCCACAGUGACCCGAGCACUGGCAUUCCAAGGACUCAAAUGACCACCUUCCUCGCCCUUCAAUAAGUAUCUCUCAGUGAAGAAAGUAUUUGGAUGAAUGACAGAAAGCAUCCUGAACUGUGCACCUGCAAAAGAUAUUUCACACAUUCCUUUUUGGACAUUUUGUUAUUUUCCUCUAAGCCGAUAGCCUUUCCAUCUUGUGCAGGAAAGAUCAUUAAGUAUUUCAUAGGCAUAAACAUUUCAUGUUCAAAACUUUUGGUACUUCAGUUGUAAUAUUGUUAUUGUACUACAUAAAUCUAAAAUAAAACCAGCUUCUCUGCCCAGUACCUAUCAGCUGCAAUUUAGGGGAAGUGCCUUUAUAUUUAUAUCCUAUGGGCCCAAUCAGGUAGAAAGAGAAUUAUUCUUUAUCUUGUCUAAUGUCCCCAAAUCUCCCAGGUCCCAAGUCACAGAAAGGCAAUGUGGUAGCAUUCUUCUGGGGACUCAUCAGAUAUAUCCUCAAAGUACUUUUGUCAAAUACAUUAUUCUAAUCAAUGUGAAUCCUAAAAUGUUAUUAUUAAUAGUAUAGUUAUAUGUUGUCAAUUUUUUUUGGAAUAUGAAUCAUUUUUGUAAGUAAUAUGUCAUUUGAUUGUCUCAAAAAUUCUAUCAAGUUAUCCCAUUUUGUGGGUCAAAGAACUAAGGUUCAGGAACAUGAAGGGACUUGCUUCAAUUAAUUGGUCAGGAUGUGAUGGCGGGGAGAUUUGGAGAGGCUCCAGGGUCCAAGGUUGAGCCUUUGUGCUAUUCUAUGUCACUUGGCUUCUGGCAGAGCACAGAUCUUAGAUGUUUAGCUCUUCAGUCACAGGAUGGAGAGGAGGGAAAGUCAGAAGCACGGAGGCGGUCCUGUUGUGUAGCACUGAUUUUCAGAAUCUUCCCCCAACACUUCAUCUUCCUCCUUGUUCUUUUCCUGGCCAAGCCUUAAUUGACCAGUUCUACUUCUAGUUAAGGACCAAUUCCUUCUGGCCCAGUGCUACAAGGACAUUAGCAAUCCCACUCCUUCACGAAGCUGAUUGUGAGUCAUGCCAGUUCCUCCUCCAGGCAGAACCAGGUGUGGGCACUCUUUCUGAGCUCCGCAUCGAACAUGGGGACCUGUGAUGCAGUGUUUUCAGCUCCCACUGGAGAGAUGCAGAGAGGGCGAUUUAUCAGUGACAGUCAAAAAAGCUGGUUCUGCCUCUUUCUAGAGGCAGAUGCAGGGGCCUAGAUGUUGUUAUUAAUCAUUCGUAAACGGUUCUGUGUUCAAAAUAGCAGUGUUUAAAUAUUUCAGAACAGGUCCAGCCUCAUAAAAAGUGGGUUAUGGGCUGUCAUGAUAACAUUUCAUCUCCUUCACCAUGUUGUGGCCGAGAGAAAUAAGCUGUCACUGCCACUUGCAUCCCUGACCCUCCAACAUGCCAGGGCACAGCAGCCAAUGGAGUGUGCUGGCAGCAAGGCAGGGGGGAGAAAGGCAGGACUACUCCAUCAAGAUACCACCAUGAACCAAAAGGGCAAUUUUCCCAUAUUUAGGCUGCCUGUUUGGGUUAACUAUCAACCAAAGACCUUUGUUUUUAAACAGAACCUUUUUUCUCUUUCACAUUUGAUAAAUAAAAGCCU